rnacentral:rRNA from 1 species
AACGAACGCUGGCGGCAGGCCUAACACAUGCAAGUCGAGCGAAGCCUUCGGGCUUAGCGGCGGACGGGUGAGUAACGCGUGGGAACGUGCCCUUUGGUACGGAAUAGCCCCGGGAAACUGGGAGUAAUACCGUAUGUGGUCGAGAGACGAAAGAUUUAUCGCCAAAGGAUCGGCCCGCGUUGGAUUAGGUAGUUGGUGGGGUAAUGGCCUACCAAGCCGACGAUCCAUAGCUGGUUUGAGAGGAUGAUCAGCCACACUGGGACUGAGACACGGCCCAGACGCCAACGGGAGGCAGCAGUGGGGAAUCUUAGACAAUGGGGGAAACCAUGAUCUAGCCAUGCCGCGUGAUCGAUGAAGGCCUUAGGGUUGUAAAGAUCUUUCAGUGGGGAAGAUAAUGACUGUACCCACAGAAGAAGCCCCGGCUAACUCCGUGCCAGCAGCCGCCGUAA